GACGAACGCUGGCGGCGUGCCUAAUACAUGCAAGUCGAGCGAGCGGAACUAACAGAUUUACUUCGGUAAUGACGUUAGGAAAGCGAGCGGCGGAUGGGUGAGUAACACGUGGGGAACCUGCCCCAUAGUCUGGGAUACCACUUGGAAACAGGUGCUAAUACCGGAUAAGAAAGCAGAUCGCAUGAUCAGCUUUUAAAAGG
rnacentral:rRNA from 1 species